ACAAGAAACGGCCUCGGCGACUUGCCGCACUUUUUCUUUUGCAGCCGAGCAGCAGCCGGUGCGGCAGCUCCUUCCGGUUUCCGGCCCCUUUGGCAAAUUAGGUUCUUCCUGAAGGGGCGGGGCUUAUCCGAUCCUGGAGCUCUCUUCUUCAAGCCUCCUGUACAUUCUGUUCUGUUGGAAGAAAACAUCCAUUUGGGUUCAGUUCCAAGUGGGGAAAAAGACACUGGAAACAUGGAGGCUGCUUGGAAAGAUGGUUUAAUGGUGGCCAGGAUCACAUGGCUUGAGUUCCUGAACAGAAAAAUGAGAUGCUGUGCGCCCCUGGCUUUUUCCUUUCUCUGAGCUUUGAAUUUCCUGGGGCACAAGAAGAGUAUCCUGAUUGGUUGUCAGACUCCCAGGGGGUGGAGUUUUUAGCUAGCCUUGCUGGCUGAUGUAAUCUUCCCAGGUGCCAUGUGAUGAACUGAAUAGGGGAUGUGUGAACUACUGUUAAAAUCCUUGUAGACUGAAGUUGAUUCACUAAGAAAUGCAAAUAUUUAUUAUGGAUAUCAAGCCCAAGCCACAGCAGCCUCAGAGGGAAGGAGUUGCCAGGUCUCAGUCAUAGAAGAGAGAUAGCACCUGCUAUCAUGAGAAGAAAUUCCUGAAGCAGAAGAACGGAAUGACUGUGCUGUGAAUGCUGUUUUGUUAAUAAAGCACCUGUCUGUGCUUUUCCCCUUUCAUAUUUUAAGAAGGCUACAUUUUAUCUGCAUGUGUUUCUCAUCUAUCAGUGCAUCACACUGAAUUCAGAUCCCUCCAUGUCACACUGAUGAGAGGUUCUCCCCUGCCUGGAGCUGACACGGAAGAUCUGAGCUCCAUUCCAGCACCCUGCUGAAGGAGUUCCCUUCUACGCGCAGAGGGGAGCUGACAUCCUUCGGCAUGCCUCUCUUUCAACCGGCCCCUAGAGAGGAGAGCGAGUGGAAAUUCAAAGA